ACGAUCCCCCUCGAGACCUAGAGUUUCUGGUCAAGAGGAAAGCCAGAAUGGAGGAUGGACUGGAACGGCUCAAAGGGAAGGAUGAUGAAAUGACCGUUCCUGCAAGUCAUGGUUUCGAAGUAAUAUCAAACAUAUCCCGAACCAUGACCCAAGCUGAUAAAGGGGUCCAGGGUUUAGUGGGUGAGAGUCCCACAGUGCCGGAAAAAACACAAUUCAGUGAUGUCCAGUCUGCAUAAUGCAUUUGCCCUUAACCUCCAAAAAAAAAAAGGUUAGGUUAGGUGUUUUGUUAGGUUAGGUUAGUGUUUUGUGUUUAAUAGGAGUACAACUUAAUUAUUAUUAUGUGGGUGCUCAGAGAAGGUGAAAAGCCUGUGUGGUUGUACUGUUCUGUUGAACCGAACCACUGGAGAGUCUAGUUGUUUGAGAGUACAACUUAAAAAUGGUGGUAAAUUUCAUCAAAGGCUAAAUAGAUGGGACUAAUAGCGAACAAGUAUCAUGAGGGAAAGUUGAAAAGAACUCUGAUGAGAGAGUUCAAUAGUACGGGAAACCAUAGUAAGUAAAACAGAUAACUGUGCUGUAAAGUGGUGUGCGUAUCAACAGGGUAGUUGGUUAUGUGGUGCCUUGAGCGUAAGUUGUCCAUUCAACCGAUUGCUCUUGAUUAGCCCUGCCAGAAACUCUGUGCACUAGUUCACACUCAUUCAUUGAGAAACUAUGCCGGCUGCGGCAUCGAUAUGGGACAGCUCGUAGGUAGUGCGAUGUCCUGUGUUGGGCAUCACCUAGCCGGUGUAGUUUAGCUGUGGGACAGCUACGGCCUGCGUUUACUAAAUGUAUCUGUUGUAUCUGCGAUUUGGUUUAUUCCUUGUUGCGGUGAGCAUGUUACUCUAGCUAAGCAGUCCGCCAUCAAUGGUUAGCAUUAGUUAUUUGACCCGUCUUGAAACACUGACCAAGGAGUUCAAAUGGCACGCGAGUCAUUGGGUCUUAACACCCGAAGGCGAAGUGAAAUGCAAAGGUAUUGUUAUUUGUGGCUGUACCAUGAUUAAGCGAUGAGCUACUUAUGCUUUCUGGCAUUUGUAGACUACAAGCGUGAUGUUUGAGACCCGAAAGAUGGUGAGCUAUGCCUAGUCAAGAUUAAGCCAGAGGAAACUCGUGGAUGUCUGAAGUUAUUCUGACGUGCAAAUCGAUAAUCUGAACCAUCUGAUCUGGGUAUAGGGGCGAAAGACUAAUCGAACUCUCUAAUAGCUGGCUCCUUCCGAAGUUAUAAGAAGUAUAAAGAAUAUAGCCUCAGCCUAUUCUCAAACUUUUAAUGGGUGUGAGUGUUAUUUCUCGAUUGAAGAACACUGCUAAAUAAGUAUGCUUAGUGGGUCAUUUUUGGUAAGCAGAACUGGCGCUGUGGGUUGAACCAAUUGUUGUAAAGUGCGAAAAGCUGAAACGCGCAUGAGAUCCAUAAAAGGCGUUAGUUGCCGAAGACAGCAGGACGGUGGCAUUGGAAGUCGGAAUCCGCUAAGGAGUGUGUAACAACUCACCUGCCAAAGCAACUAGCCCCAAAAAUGGAUGGCGCUAUAGCAUUGUACUUGUACUCAACCUCUGACGUGUGACGCACUGGAGCGCUCAGAGAGUAGGAAGAUAAUGUGAUAGCAUCGAAGGAUGUUGUUGUGAAGCAAUCUGGAGCUGUCACAUGUGCAGAUCUUGGUGGUAGUAGCAAGUACUCAAUUGAAAACCUUGAGCACUGAAGUUGGGGAUGGGUUCCACGUGCCUUGGUCCUUGAAAAUUUGAGCGUGGUGAUUAUCUUGGUGGCAGUCCGUACUAAUAUCUGCAGCGGGUCUCCAAGAUGUGAAGCCUUUAGUGUAUUGAUUAAUGUAGGUAAGGGAAGUCGACAAAAUAGUUCUGUAACUUUGGGAGAAGGAAUGGCUCUGAAGGUUGAUCCAGCCAGGUUGACAGUAGAAGUAUUUAUGACAUUGUGUUGUCGCCGGAUGGACUUCGUGUCUGUCUGGAUGAUGACCGAAGUUGUGUUUAUGGACAUUGUUAGCUAUUUCGGUUUAUGCUGAUGUGAGUGGAAAUUAUCAACUAUUUCAGAACUGGCAAGAACUGAGGGAAUCCGACUGUCUAAUUAAAACAAAGCAUUGUGAAGUCCAGUAAUUGGUUAUGACUCAAUGUGAUUUCUGCCCAGUGCUCUGAAUGUCAAAGUGAAGAGAUUCUUUGAAGCGCGGGUGAACGGCGGGAGUAACUAUGACUCUCUUAUGGUAGCCAAAUGCCUCGUCAUCUAAUUAGUGACGCGCAUGAAUGGAUUAACGAGAUUCCCACUGUCCCUAUCUACUGUCUAGCGAAACCACAGCCAAGGGAACGGGCUUGGACUGAACGGCGGGGAAAGAAGACCCUGUUGAGCUUGACUCUAGUCUGACUUGGUGAAGAGACAUAGGAGGUGUAGCAUAAGUGGGAGAC
rnacentral:rRNA from 1 species